rnacentral:lncRNA from 1 species
UUUUUUUUUUUUUUUUUUUUUUUUUUUGCUUUUUAGGGCCACACCCACGGCAUAUGGAGGUUCCCAGUCUAGGGGUCCAAUCAGAGCUACAGCUGCUGGCCUACACCACAGCUACAGCAAUGCCAGAUCGGAGCCACAUCUGUGACCUAUGCCACAGCUCAUGGCAACACCAGAUUCUUAACUCCCUGAGCAAGGCCAGGGACCAAACCCACAAUCUUGGGGUUCCUAGUCAGAAUGUUUCCGCUGUGCCACAACGGGAACUCCCCAGGAAUUUGUUUUAAUGAAACACUCACAUAAGUUUGUUAAGAAAUAUGCAACCCCAUCAAUUUAGCCUUGUCCUGAAUUCGUUGUGUUUUUUUGUUUGUUUUUGAUUUUUCUUUUUAGGGCCACUCCCACGGCAUAUGGAAGUUCCCAGGCUAGGGAUCGAAUCAGAGCUGCAGCUGCUGGUCUAUACCACAGCCACAGCAAUGCCAGAUCCAAGGGCAUCUGUAACCUACAUCAUAGUUUGUAGCAACGCUGGAUCCUCAGCCCAUUGAGAGAGGGCAGGGAUUGAACACGUAUCAUCGUGGAUACUGGUUGGGUUCUUAAUCUGCUGGGCCACAAUUCGAACUCCAAUUUAGCCUUGUCUUGGAGUGAAAAGUUGGAGGGUACCAAGGACUCACAGUAUGGGGACUAGUGGAGAAAAGUGAGACAGAGCCAGAUAGUCAUGUACACUGUAGUGCCUCUGGUAAAUUAAUGACAUGGUUCUGCAUUUCCUCAUGUGGAAGGAGGUCUGACAGCUCAUUCAUCCUACACACUUUCUUGGGCACCUGCUAUGUUCCAGUAUCUGUUCUAGGCAAAGGAUGCAGCAGUGAAGAAAGGAGACAAUGUCCUUGCCCCCAUGAAGCUUCCAUUCUAAUGGGAAAGAUUUUCACAAACAAAUAAAUACAUAUUAUCACAUAAUAACAUAUCCAUUAGGUUAAAAAAAAAAAAGCAAGGAGCAUGGGGAAGUCACUUCGGAAAACAGUUUGGCAGUUUCUUAUAAGGUUAAAUAGAUAUUUACCAAUAUACCUUUGGUCCGGCCAUCCCACUCCUGGGUAUUUACCCAAGAGAAAUGCAAAUUUAUAGUCACCCUAGAACCUGUGUGUGUCCUGUAAUUUCAUUUUAUGUGACAUUCUGGUAAAGGCAGAAUAUAGGGACAGAGAAUAGAUUAAUCAUUUCUGGGAACUAGGGUUGAAGGAAGGGGUUGAUUACAACAGGGCACAAGGGAAUUUGGGAGGGUAUUGAAACUGUCCUAAGUCUUUGUUGUGGUGAUGCCUACACAGCUGUAGAUGUUUGGUCAAGACUCCUAAUUCUACAUUAAAAACAGUGAAUUUUACUAUAAGUAGAUUAUAUACCUCAGUAAACCCUAUUAAGGAAAAAAAGCAAAGUACAAGUUCUGUAUACAGUAUAAUCCCAUUUUUGUAAGUAAUAAGAAUAAUAAAAGAUGUUAGAUUGUGCUUAGGGAAAAAAAAAUUAGUUGAAUAUCCAGUACGUUGAAUUGUUAACAGUAAGUUAUCUGGGUUGGGGAAAGGGGUGUUUCAUUUUCUAAAUUACACAUUUCUUUGAUGUUUGAAUAUUUUAUGGGGCAUGUGUUACUUUCAAAAUUACAGGGGACAACGGAUUGUAAUACAAAAGUUAACCUUCAGUGCUGGUCAGGCUACUGUGGCCAGGUGCAGAACUCAUUUGAGAUGCUCAGGCUACAUCACUGAUCCUAAUUCUGGCUCUGGAGGGCAAUUGUCCACUCAGGCUGUUGGUGACAACAGGCAAGGAAGGGCUGCUCCCCCCUCUAUGCUGCUACUGGGGGGAGUGGGCCCUUCAGUAGUUCUCACGGGACUGGUUUUUGUGGACAGAGGUGGAGUGAGGCUUAGGGCUGACAAGGCUUUUGUCUUCCUGCCAUAGAGAGAAGCUGUCUGUGGCCCAAGGUGGUUUAACACCUCUGAUAAUAAACCCAACAUUGAUUGACACUUGCUCUGUGCCAGACACUGGCCAAGGACUUACUGCUUAGUAUUAUUUUGUAAUUCCUUCAUUUAACAAACAUUUGUGGGAUACUUUUUUUUUUUUUUACAUUUUGCUUUUGUUUUUGGCCACACCUGCGGCAUGUGGAAGUUCCUGGGUCAGGUAUCAUACCCCUUGGCACAAUAGCGACCUCAGCCCCUGCAGUGAUAACACCGGAUCCUUAACCUGCUGACCCACAUGGGAAGCCACAAACACUUGUUAAACACCAACAAUAUUCUAGGCACUGGGGAUAUGAUAGCGAUCAAAGAGGAGGAAGAAAAAAGCCCUUAUGUUCCAUCCCCCUUAUAUUCUAAUAGGGAAAGGGGGAGACAAGCACAAAUAUGUGAGAACAGAUACAUAUCAGAGGAUUUUAUUUUUUUAUUUUUAUUUGUCUUUUUGCCAUUUCUUGGGCCACUCCCGCUGCAUAUGGAGGUUCCUAGGCUAGGGGUCAAAUCAGGGCUGUAGCUGCUGGCCUAUGCCAGAACCACGGCAAUGCAGGAUCCAAGCCGCAUCUGCGACUUACACCACAGCUCCCGGCAACACCGGAUCCUUAAUCCACUGAGCAAGGCCAGGGAUUGAACCCGCAAACUCAUGGUUCCUAGUCGGAUUCGUUAACCACUGAGCCAUGACGGGAACUCCUGUCAGAGGAUUUUUAGAUGCUAAGAGAAAACUGAACAGAGUGAGGGUGCAAGAGGGAGGGAUUGGGGCAUACUGCUUUAGGUGCAGUGGUCCAAAAGGGUCUUUCCAAUUUGGGGGCCAUCUGACCCAAGGGGAGGAGGGGCCUGCCAGGGCCAGGGCUCUGAGGCUGAGUGUGUGAGCAGAGCCAGAGGGAGGUCAUGGUCCUGCAGCAGAGUGUGCGGGGGGGACACCUGCAAAGGAGCAAGAGGCCACAUGACCCAGGGCCCCCACAGGUGGCAACAAAGUGUUUGGCUUUAACUUUGAAGGAGAUGGGAAUCAUGGAAGGGUUUAGAGCAGAGGAGUGACAUAGGUUUGAUUAGGAUCCCUCUGACUGCUCUGCAGGAAAGAGGACACAGUGGGAGUGGGGCAGGAGUGAGAUCAUCAGAGAGACAAGUGGCUUAGGCUUGGGGUGGCACAUUCUGGAUAUUUUCAUUUCACCCUUCACUUUUCCCAUCUGCAAAAUGGAACAAUAAUAGUAUCUCCCUCACGGGAAAAUUAAACAAUUCCAUGGUGUAAACUAUCUGGCCCUGUGCCUGGUGCAUGGGAAAUGCUCAAUAAAUAUGUCUGUGCUUAUUAUUAUAGUUAUUAUUAUUAUUAUUGUUAUUGCUACUACUAUUGUUGUUGUUGUUGUUACCAACCUCCUUAUGAUGCCAGGAUAAUUAUGCACGCAUGAUGGAUGAGAAGAGUGAGGCUCAUAGGGUUGAGGCUGCUUCUUCAAGAGCAGGUGGCUGGUAAGUAGUGGAACUAUACUGUUCCAGGACCCUGCAGAACAUUUAUGGGGAGGCACACUUGGCCCGUGUGGAGACGGGAAGCCCAGAAUAAAGGGCAGAGGGUGUCUAAGCAAGUGGGAACCCUCUAACCUCAUCUUAUUUCAGAAGGCAGCAGUGGUCAAGCUUCAGAUCCUCCCUGGCACUUCCAAGCUGUGUGACCUUAGGCAAGUCAGCUCACCUCUCUGAGCCUCAGCUGUCUCAUUUGUAAGAUGAGGACUGUGAUAGGACCUACCCCAUGAGAUAGUUGUGACAAUUAGACACCUGGCAGAAAAUGAGCUGCCUAAACACAUUCAGAAAGCAGCCCCUCCUGAUGCUACAGUAAAGAGGGGGUAAUUGAGUAUAUAUGGUUGAUGGAAUGUCUUGUUGGUAGCACCCACCACACAGCUCUGUUAGGGAGGAGAAAGCCGUACUUCUGUUGGGAUCUUGAGAUGUGGCUGAUUAGAUUAUAUUGAACAGGCUCAUUAGGGUGCACUUGCUAUGGGAACAGUGACCUCUUCAUCAAACCACAAACACAGAACAUUGCAAAGGUGUUUUUUGAGUUUGAGUUAUUGUAUGAUUAACAUGAAGUAAAGUCUGCUUGUUGGAAAGUCACUUUAAGGGUCUAUUCUUUUUUUUUUUUUUAAUGUGAGGGAAUAUUUGCCUAGGUAUUUUUGGUGGAAUGUAAAGAAGGGGCUUCUCUGUUCAGUAAGCGUUGUGAAAUGCUGGUAGAAAAUCCCCAUAACACAACUUGCUAACAUUUACAGAAGCUGUUGUGAUUAAGUGGGAACCAAGCUACAGAAAAAUCUACAACAAGAAGUCAGCAAAGUAAGAUCAAGAGACUAUAAAGUAAACAAUAUAUAGAGAAUGAAAAGUAAUUUAUUUCCUUGGGGAAGCGAUCUGUACCGACAGCAGCAACAGAGUGACUCUGUAGAUGUACUCCAUUUCCAUCCGCGGGAGAUGAUUGCAGUCAGCACAUUUGAAAAUUGAGAAAUUGUGUACGCAAUUUGAAAAACCAACUGAUUAUAACUCACCAGUGUGCUAAGAGGUCAGUGGCCCAUUUCAAAAAGGAAAAACUGAGACUCAAGUGGGAGAGAAGAGUUGCUUGCCUCAUCCUUGCUGAGACACCAUAACCCAGAUGACCAGGAGAGCCCAGUGAGCCUGUCACUGGGCCAUGUGAAGACAAGGUGAUGACUCAUCUCUCACAUGUGGCUUUUUUUUGGCCUCCGAGUUGUUGCCUGAGUAAGGACUGUGCUCUUUCCCAGGGUUGCUUUCAAAUAAAACGACCUGUUGCAGAAAGCAAGAGCUGCCUACCCCCACCCCCACCCCCCCAGGCAGGAACCCAGCCAGCAGGGAGCUGACACACCUGUGCUAGGGAGCAGGCAAAGUGUCCUCCAGGCUGGGAACUUAAAGUGCCUGACAGUUUGGAAGGAACUGGUAUGGGUAUGGUCCCUGCAGCAUGGGGUCCUUUGUCUAACAUGCUAGGACCGGGAUGUCACUUCUCCAAGAGUAGUAUCACACAGCUGGUGUGGCUCAAUCAGUUGCCUUCUCUCCCAUCUAGCCCCUGAUUUAGGCCACUGGUGAAAAGACAUUUGUCUUCCUUACAAACCUCUGGACGCUUGGGUCUGGCCCGGAGCACAGAAAGCAGAAAGGGUGAGAUGUGCUGGCAGAAUUGCCAGAAGAGUUGGCAUCUCCCCUCCCAGAGCACAGCCUGGCUCAGGGCCACCCGAGAAGGCCGUUUCUUUUAUGAGCAUUGAAUUCACACUUGCACAGCCCUGGAGAGGAAAAGUUACAGAAUCCACCGUGUGAACACCCUCUUCCCUUAAAGAUAAUUUUGAGUUGGCUGUUAUGAGUGAGGCCGUUCAGAUUCUAAGAGCGUGUGUGUGUGUGUGUGUGUGUGUGUAUGUGUGUCCAUCCAGAGGAAACAGAAUUUAGUUGCAUGUGAUAUAUUUCACCACCUGCUGUGACCAUAGCCUGCAGCAUAUAAACUUAGUAGAGGCUGAAAAUUUAUGACUAUAGUCACUUGUCUUUGGUCAAGUGUCAGUGU